rnacentral:lncRNA from 1 species
GACAGCGGAAAUAUCAUAAAAUAAAGAUUUGGAUUUAUUAUCAAAUAAAUAAAUUUUUAAAUAAAAUAUUUUAGAAAACACUUCAAAGGGAGACAAACCCUAAAAAAAAAUUAAACUUUUAAAUAAUGUACUCAAAGGCUAACUUUGAUUUAAAAAUCGACAAUCAACCUCUUAUUUCAAAGCAUGACAUAAAGAUGUCAUCAAAAUAUCCAGGUAUUAGGUAAAACUUGUGCUAAGCAAAACUUUAAAUACUUAAAUUAGUUGAAAAUCAAAUCAACUACUUGAUAAAUGUCUUGAAUCUCGAUGCGCCCAUUCGACCUUCCACGCGUCUCCAACGUCAAAAUACCUGAAAUGUUUAAUAUGGGAUGAGCAUACAGAAUAUACUCAGUGUGGGGACAUGCAAUUAUUGUCCACGUUAAUAAAAUGAGAAUCACAUAUGAUCAAUACAUUCGUAACUGAAAGUCGCACUGUGGCAUACCAAGGACCUUUCCGUCCUGGACCGAUUGAGCAGGCCCCUGGCGAAUGGUUGCAACCCUAACUGUAACAUGAAAUCGCAUUGUGGCAUACCAAGGACGGUGAAGUCCUGGACCCAUUGAGCGGGCCCCUAGCGAUAUAACUGAAUUUACAACACAUAUGGCAAACACAUAAUAUUAAAAUGGACAACAAUUAACCACGGCAUGUACUGAAAUAAAUCCCACACCUGAAACUUUGAACUUGAACUUGA